UACGGGGGGGGGCAAGCGUUGUUCGGAAUUACUGGGCGUAAAGGGCUCGUAGGCGGCCAACUAAGUCAUACGUGAAAUCCCUCGGCUUAACCGGGGAACUGCGUCUGAUACUGGAUGGCUUGAGUUUGGGAGAGGGAUGCGGAAUUCCAGGUGUAGCGGUGAAAUGCGUAGAUAUCUGGAGGAACACCGGUGGCGAAGGCGGCAUCCUGGACCAACACUGACGCUGAGGAGCGAAAGCCAGGGGAGCAAACGGG
rnacentral:rRNA from 1 species